CAUCCACCGAGGUAAAGAAAGUUUCAAGUUGGAUAUUCGCGCUUUCAAUCCACUUGAGACAAAGACUCCAAAUAGGUGGCAUGAUGUUGGAAAAAUUGCGCACAACAUUAUUUUCACGAUUUGGACAUUCAUUCGCAUUCCAAAGCUAAUAAACAUGUGGAAAUGUGAGCACUAUUUGGUAUUCCUAGUCGAAUUAGUUAGGGAAGGUAAACAAAGUACAAGCUUUUUUACUUUCGAUUUUUAAUAGCUCCUUGGUCAUAGGACCUUCUUGACUCAAACAAGUGUCAGAAUGUCCACUGACUACCCUUCUGUAUUGCACACCCUUUGGUUUGUUCAUUUUCAUCUCACACGUUUUUACAUGAAUUGUUCAAACUUUAAAAUCGAAAUGGCUCCUUGGUCAUGUGACCUACUGACUUCAAACAAGGUUCAGAAUGUCCACUCGAAGACAAUGAGGCUGCAGGCCAGGUCACAGCUCUGUGGCGAAGAAACAAUUGCCAGGUGGUGGUUGCUGAUGUGAGGUCUACAGACAAAUUCCUCUUUCCUUCUCCAACAUUCGGAGUUUAAAACUCUGCAGCCCCACAAAUGGCUUGUGGAUGAGAGAAUACUUCAAAAUGAGAAGAUCCUGCCAUGGAAAAGAUGACUGGGUGGACAUAAAGUGGAAAGGAGGGGAACUAACUCCCACCAUGCAGCAGGACACCUUCAGCUGCUGGGUCUUUGGAAUGCAGAUGGCCAAGGAAGUUGCACAGAACUUCCCCAACAUCCCAAAUUGAUAUAGAGCCUUCAAAAACACAUGGAGCAACUGCGAAAAGAAAUGGCUGAGGAUAUACUAAAAAUGUCUGAGUUCAACAAAGCCAACAACUACUUCCUGUGUGACACUGAUAAAUACCCUGGAUGUGGCUCAAAGACUGACUGGGUUGAAUGUUUUGCAUGCCAACGGUGGGUCCAUGUGCUGUGCCUAGGAAUGAAGACAAAAGAGUUCAACAGAGUAAAGAACACAAACUGGAAGUGCAGUCUUUGUUGUUGAAAAUCCACACUGAAGAGGCUCUGAAAUGUACAUCAACCAGGGAUAAAGAGAAAGUUAACACUGUGAAAUGAUUUGUACUUUGAAGAAAAGUGUCUGUUGACAUGUUGGAAAAGAUUAAAGGUCUACAAUUUCUGUUUAA